AACACACAGUCGAGGGUACUACGUCAUAUUGCAUGUGUUUUCUUCACCAAAUAUGGGAUUAGGUAAACACAGCCUUAUGUUGUUACACUACACUACGUGUGACAAUUUUAUGUUAUCGGGCAUAUGUUUAUGAGAAUCAGAUAUGCAGCCGUCGCAGCCUGCUGAUGAAGAUCCUCAGCUUAUUAUACAGAGGUCAGGCUUGAGCUAUGUGCUGAUUCAAAAGAUGCUAAUGACAGUGGAUAAUCCAUUCUGAGUUGUUCUAGGAUCAUUCACCAACGUUUCAAAACACUGAUGGAAUUGAAGGCAGUACAUAUACUGAUGUCUGGCCUGUGAUUUCAAGUAUAGACUAUAAUUGAUGUACCUCCUCCUGAUGUAUCUCCAUGAAAAAAUAUAUCUGCCAUGUGAAAGGAGCAAGCUGCAAGAUAUACUGUGGAAGUGGGGGCCUAUGUAAAAAACAUUUUAUUUAAAGAAUAUAAGAAAUCUGACACUAAACUACUGAAAAGGUGCACAGGGGACAUUUUUGUGUGUAUAGACUUUCAUCAAGAUUCUGAGAAAGUUGAUUUAUUAAACAGAAAUAGUCAUAUUGUGUCUUCAAAGCUGAAAAAGAUUAAGAUCUUAGAAAACAUUAGGACUCAAGAAAAGUAAUGGGGUAAUGAAACUGCAGUGUUCAACAUUUAAAUUGUUUUUUGUUUUUUUUUUCACUACAUUUUGUGAAGAGGGUUCCAUCACAAGAUGUGACAUAUUGGUAAGAAUGAGAUGUAGUUUAUGAAAAAGGGUAUUUUGCUUUAAAUGUGUAGACUUUAAGUUACAUAAAAAAUCAAAGCUGUAACAAUAAAGCCUGAUUUAAAAAAACUAGCCAACAUGUAAUUGUCACACUUUCUUGGGCGUACAGGGGACAUAAUUAGCUAUAUAAUUUAAUAUAACUUUAACCAUUAGGCCCUUGCUAAAUUUCUAUAAUGGACUUGUCCAUUUUACAAUUUGGACAGUAUUAUUAAGUGUUAAAAAGGGUGCUAACCAAAAGAUUCUGACUGAAUGGCGCACAGUGCAGAUGAAGAUCAGACUGCACUAAUAUGCAGGCUGAUCAUGAUCUACACUUGUCGCAAAGGUAGGACCAACCAUGAACAGCAUGAUAAGGAUUAAAACUGCUUGAGCCAUUCAACUGAAAUUGCAAACAUUUGUUGACUACAUUGAUUGGAUAUAAUGUAACUUGCCCCAAAACACUUUAUAAAACUGAACUGAAUUAAAAUAAGGUGAGAGAAAAGGAAAAGCUUAAUUAUUAAUAAAAAAAAAAACAAUAUAGCCGAUAGAUACACAUUGUUGAAGGCAUUAUCUUUGUUUACAUUAAAUUUAAAUGUGGCUGCCACCUUUUUUGUUAGAAAUAUAAGACACAUUAAUUUCUUGUUUUCGAAUUUAUGUGUCAAAGUGGCAGUUCUUGUUAACUGCAAAAUCAUCUACUGUUAUUGGUUAACUAAUUAUUGGAAUAGUGAGCAUUUUAACAUUGUUUCAUCACAAUGCACUCCUUUAUGGGAAUAGGGAGGCAAUAGCACAUUUAACUAUUAAAACUUAUUAUUAAACUAUGUCAUUUGAAUGAAAACAGCCUUAGACACACCUGAAAAUCAGAUCAAUUUGAAAAUACAUGCAAUGUUUUAAAAAUGUUUUUGGAUUUAAGUUAUAACAUUUUCUUAUUUUUAUCUUCAGUUGGUUAUAAAUGCAACUGAUUGUUUUUAUCAACAUCUGUUGUCAGGUGUGUUUCGUCCCAAUUUAAUUUUGUGACCCAUACAGUGUUUCCAGGACUCAUCAGUAUGAGAAACACCAUCAACUUGAGUCAACAACAUAACUUUUAACAUGUGAACAGAAGUUAAUUAUAAACAUUUUCAAAGGAACAUAGUGAACUGGAACAGUAAAUGAAAAUUAUAAAAGAAAUGAAAAUGAUAACCUGUACACUUUGGCAUUUCAUAGUUCUUUUUAAAAGAUCAAAUUUAUCUGAGAAGACAAUGACAGUGAAAUAUAAAAUUUUACUUAAAAUUAUUGAUGUAAAUCAUACUGAAAUCUAACAACUUACUGGUAAUAUAAAUUUUAUCAAUAGCAUAGAGUAAAGAUUUUCUGAUAUUUUUGGAAAGAUUUGAAAAAUAUUGUACUUUAAAUGUUCAACCAAUAUUUUAGAUCAAAUUAUGAAAUGCCAUAUUUAUUUAUAAAUGAAUAAAACUGUUGUCAACUUAUAAAAAUUUCUGUUAACUUUAAUAAAUUAUUAGAACUUAAAUAUUUUUCAUUGUCUUUGUGUCCAUCAGUUUUUCUGCUUAUUCAAUUACAUCAUGCUAUUUGCCACUUGCUAAAUGUGAACUAUCUAAAGUAUAGAUGUUAAUAGUUAACAGCACUGCAAAAUGCAGAACAAAA